UAUUCAAAAGUCAUAUAUUUCAAAUAUAGUUUUAUGUGGUCAAAUUCUACCUUAAGCUGGCGUUUAUUUAACUCAUUUUUCUAAGGAGUAAAGUCUGCUUGAAAAAAGCAGAGUUAGCUGAUUCUCCUCUGGUGAUGGUUGCUAGGAAACCAUUCUAUGGCAAAUUAGAAUCACAUAAGCUCUGCCUUCCCUGAGAACGCCUAUAGAAUUAAUGCAGGCACAAUUCAUUCAACAAUGAAUCAGCACACAGUGAUAUCUUUGCUCUCUUACUGGUAAAUUGUUUAAAUAAUUAGCUUUUAUCUACAGUUUAUGUCUUAGCUUCCAGUUAGUCUUUAAAUUCCCAGAGAAUAAGUCUUCUUGCAUUUUCAUCUUUGAAUGCCCACUCCCUCACGCCUAGUCACCAGAGCUUGACCAAUAUGCACGGACUGUGUUUGAGGAGGUGGUCACAAGGGAGAAACGCCUCCAGACUAGAAAAAGAACAGUCUGGGGUUGAUAUCGGGGAGGAGUGAAGAAGAUGUUGUCUCUCAGAAGAAGGGCAAAGCCUGGGGCUAAUUCAAAGAUAAAGUUUCUCUUAAAGAGAAGACGAAGCGAUCAGAACGCCUCCUCAGACCACUGUCUGUUGCUGAGCGAGCAGCACAGGAAACCAGCGAGCAUGGCCCUGGCACCCACCUUCUCCCCUAAGACCUGGUUCCGCUGUCUGCUUUGGUGACUUCCCACCUUUGAGCCUUCGGUGUGUGCACGUGGGUGCACACGGGCGCACACAGGUCUGUGGUGCAGUGUGUGCUUCUAGACGAGCAGGGGUGUGGAGGGACAGCGAAAGGCUGGCAGAUCGAGGAAUGCGGCAGAGGAAGGUGCACAGUCCCAUGUGUCCUCACUGUGUACAACGACCUAUUUGUCACAGACUAAAAAGAGCUGGGGACAAGGGGGCAGGCUCCUAUUUGUAAAUAUCACUCAGACUUUUUAGAUGAAGUUUUUAAUGUCGGGAAAUGGGGUCCAGAGUUUACAGACAUUAUUAGCAACCUAUUUGUCUCACUCAGUCCAGAGCCUUCAGGCCAGACUACCAAAGACUCUCCUUCCAAGGAGUGGGGGGCAUUCUUGACAAUGUCUCACACGCUGACAAGGGGCCUGGCUGGAAUAGGAAAUGCUGGACACGCCUCCUUCCAGGGAACACGGAUUAUGAUGGAUGAGGGCUGAAAUAUGAGAGACAGCAACAUCAGACUAAUGAAGAAUUAUUAUAAUUACUAUGAUUUAGUGAAUUAAUCUUUUAAUAGUAACAAAAUAAAAUUUCAAUCCCUCAAGUCA
rnacentral:lncRNA from 1 species